GGCAGUUCUCGGGUGAUGCAUCCCAGAAUCGGGUUCCCUCCUCUCUGGUUCCAGGUGUGUCGCCUGAGAACCGCA
rfam:Myotis davidii contig37153, whole genome shotgun sequence.